AGUUUAAUGUAGUUAUAUUAAAUGAAUCCUGCCCAGUGUAAUUUAUAAAUGGCCGCAGUACCCUGACUGUGCAAAGGUAGCAUAAUCAAUUGGCUUUUAAUUAAAGUCUGGAAUGAAAGGAUAUUUGAAAAAUAACUGUCUUUAAAAUAUUUACUUGAAUUUAAUUAUUAGGUGAAAAUACCUAUUUUACAGAAAAAAGACGAGAAGACCCUAAGAAUUUUAAUUAAAAAAAUUUUUUAUUUUUUUGUUUUUGUUGGGGCGACAAUUAAACAUUUUAAACUUUAAUUUUUUUAUAUAAAACGAAAAUGUUAUAAAAGAUUAAAUUACCUUAGGGAUAACAGCAUUAUUUAUAAAAGUUUGUGACCUCGAUGUUGGACUAGGAACUUUAAGGCUAGCAGUCUAAAAAGAUUUGUUCUGUUCGAACAAUAAAAUCCU
rnacentral:rRNA from 1 species